AGUAACAAGCGGGCACUCAAUGUGGACAUCCCCAUCACUCUUGUGGCUGGGAAGAACACAAUUGAUCUUCUUAGUUUGACUGUCGGACUUCAGAACUACGGAUCUUUUUUUGACAUAUGGGGAGCCGGAAUCACUGGUCCAGUUAUAUUGAAAGGUUUGAAGAAUGGCAACACUUUUGAUCUCUCUUCUCAGAAGUGGACUUAUUAGGUUGGCCUCAAAGGUGAAGAUUUAGGUCUAUCUAGUGGAAGUUUCGGACAGUGGAACUCGUAAUCUACCUUGCCUAAGAACCAACCAUUCAUUUGGUACAAGACGAAUUUUGCUGCUCCAUCUGGAAGUAAUCCGGUUGCAAUUGACUUCACCAGAAUGGGAAAAUGCGAGGCUUGGGUUAAUAGACAGAGCAUU